rnacentral:rRNA from 1 species
UACAGAGGUCUCAACCGUUGUUCGGAUUUAUUGGGCGUAAAGGGUGCGUAGGUGGCAGGGCAAGUCGGAUGUGAAAUCCCGGAGCUCAACUCCGGAACUGCAUUCGAUACUGCUCAGCUAGAGUACUGGAGAGGAGACUGGAAUUUACGGUGUAGCAGUGAAAUGCGUAGAUAUCGUAAGGAAGACCAGUGGCGAAGGCGAGUCUCUGGACAGUUACUGACACUGAGGCACGAAGGCCAGGGGAGCAAACGGG